rnacentral:pre_miRNA from 1 species
CUUCUAAAUUCAGUUUCUGAGCAUCCUUGCUAAGCCCAAUCAGUGUCUCUGAGGGUGGAUUCCAGGAAUCUGCAUUUCAGUAAGGACCUAGCUGAUUCUCACAUGUU